GAGGCUUUGUCUCCUUAAAGACUGAAGCUGAUCCUUGUCAAUCACAGACGGAUAGGUUCUUGAUUGGUAUGAGAGUUUAGGGUUGCGGGGAGAAGGGGGAAGAAUGGGGUUAGGAACAGAAUAUCAGCCCUGGUUGAAUGUUGGAACAGACUCUAUGGGCCGAAUGGCCUAGUUCUGCUGCUACAUCUUCUGGUUUAUCUUCAGGGGAGAGUUUCAGGACAGGCAUGGUAGUGCAGCAGUUAGUGUAAUGCUAUUACAGCGCCAGUGACCCAGGUUCAAUUCAAAAUGUCCGGGGUAAGUUUUUUACUCAGAGAGUGGUGAGUGUGUGGAAUGGGCUGCCGGCAGCGGUGGUGGAGGCUGAUACGAUAGGAUCUUUUAAGAGACUGUUGGAUAGGUACAUGGAGCUGAGAAAAAUAGAGGGCUAUGGGUAAGCCUAGUGAUUUCUAAGGUAGGGACAUGUUCAGCACAGCUUUGUGGGCCGAAGGGCCUGAAUUGUGCUGUAGGUUUUCUAUGUUUCUAUAACACCUCAUAUCCCGCCUGGGUCAUCUACAACCCAAUGGCAUGAACAUUGAGUUUUCCAGUUUCAGACGCUGCUCGACCGGCUGAGUUCCUCCAGCAGAUUGUUGCUCCAGGUUCCAGCAUCUGCCAUCUCCUGUGCCUCCAUAAACUCACAGGUUGGUGACACUGGUUCAACUGAUCAGCCGAGCCAGAAGCAACAUGCCUGUUCUCUAUCUAGAGGUGGUCACACCGGUCUGCUGGGGAAGGAGGGCCAAGAUUAUCCUCCAAGAGCCAUUGUGUGAAAGCGUGAAUGGUCC